rnacentral:rRNA from 1 species
GACGAACGCUGGCGGCGUGCUUAACACAUGCAAGUCGAACGGAAAGGCCCUGCUUUUGUGGGGUGCUCGAGUGGCGAACGGGUGAGUAACACGUGAGUAACCUGCCCUUGACUUUGGGAUAACUUCAGGAAACUGGGGCUAAUACCGGAUAGGAGCUCCUGCUGCAUGGUGGGGGUUGGAAAGUUUCGGCGGUUGAGGAUGGACUCGCGGCUUAUCAGCUUGUUGGUGGGGUAGUGGCUUACCAAGGCUUUGACGGGUAGCCGGCCUGAGAGGGUGACCGGCCACAUUGGGACUGAGAUACGGCCCAGACUCCUACGGGAGGCAGCAGUGGGGAAUAUUGCACAAUGGGCGGAAGCCUGAUGCAGCAACGCCGCGUGCGGGAUGAAGGCCUUCGGGUUGUAAACCGCUUUCGCCUGUGACGAAGCGUGAGUGACGGUAAUGGGUAAAGAAGCACCGGCUAACUACGUG